rnacentral:rRNA from 1 species
UGCCAGCAGCCGCGGUAAUACGGAGGGGGCUAGCGUUGUUCGGAAUUACUGGGCGUAAAGCGCGCGUAGGCGGAUUGGUAAGUUGGAGGUGAAAUCCCGGGGCUCAACCCCGGAACUGCCUUCAAAACUGCCAGUCUUGAGUUCGGGAGAGGUGAGUGGAAUUCCUAGUGUAGAGGUGAAAUUCGUAGAUAUUAGGAAGAACACCAGUGGCGAAGGCGACUCACUGGCCCGAUACUGACGCUGAGGCGAGAAAGCGUGGGGAGCGAACAGGAUUAGAUA